GAUGAACGCUGGCGGCGUGCCUAAUACAUGCAAGUCGAGCGAACGGACGAGAAGCUUGCUUCUCUGAUGUUAGCGGCGGACGGGUGAGUAACACGUGGAUAACCUACCUAUAAGUCUGGGAUAACUUCGGGAAACCGGAGCUAAUACCGGAUGAUAUUCUGAACCGCAUGGUUCAAAAGUGAAUGACGGUCUUGCUGUCACUUAUAGAUGGAUCCGCGCUGCAUUAGCUAGUUGGUAAGGUAACGGCUUACCAAGGCAACGAUGCAUAGCCGACCUGAGAGGGUGAUCGGCCACACUGGAACUGAGACACGGUCCAGACUCCUACGGGAGGCAGCAGUAGGGAAUCUUCCGCAAUGGGCGAAAGCCUGACGGAGCAACGCCGCGUGAGUGAUGAAGGUCUUCGGAUCGUAAAACUCUGUUAUUAGGGAAGAACAUAUGUGUAAGUAACUGUGCACAUCUUGACGGUACCUAAUCAGAAAGCCACGGCUAACUACGUG
rnacentral:rRNA from 1 species